rnacentral:rRNA from 1 species
AUUGAACGCUGGCGGCAGGCCUAACACAUGCAAGUCGAGCGGAGCGGCGGACGGGUAAGUGAGGCCUAGGAAUCUGCCUGGGAGUGGGGGAUAGCGUCCGGAACCGGGCGCUAAUGCCGCAUACUAUCACCAGCGCCUAGGUCGGAUUAGCUAGUGGGUGGGGUAAAGGCCUACCAAGGCGACGAUCCGUAACUGGUCUGAGAGGAUGAUCAGUCACACUGGAACUGAGACACGGUCCAGACUCCUACGGGAGGCAGCAGUGGGGAAUAUUGGACAAUGGGCGCAAGCCUGAUCCAGCCAUGCCGCGUGUGUGAAGAAGGUCUUCGGAUUGUAAAGCACUUUAAGUUGGGAGGCGUUACCAGCAGAAGAAGCACCGGCUAACUUCGUGCCAGCCGCCGCGGUAAUAC